AGCGGUUUAGCUUAACGGUAAAGCACUCAGCUGAAGUCUUAGAGGUUGAGAUAUGGGUUCGUGUCACAUGGUUGCUU
rnacentral:tRNA from 1 species